rnacentral:rRNA from 1 species
UAGAGAGACCCUACGGGUGGCUGCAGUGGGGAAUAUUGCGCAAUGGGCGAAAGCCUGACGCAGCAACGCCGCGUGGAGGAUGAAGGUCUUCGGAUCGUAAAGUCCUUUUCUGCGUGACGAGAAAGGACGGUAGCGCAGGAAUAAGUGUCGGCUAACUACGUGCCAGCAGCCGCGGUAACACGUAGGACGCAAGCGUUAUCCGGAAUUACUGGGCGUAAAGGGCGUGUAGGCGGCACGGUAAGUCAACCGUGAAAGCUCCCGGCUAAACUGGGAGAGGUCGGAUGAGACUGCCGAGCUAGAGGGUCGUAGAGGGGUGUGGAAUUCCGGGUGUAGUGGUGAAAUGCGUAGAGAUCCGGAGGAACACCAGAGGCGAAGGCGGCACCCUGGACGACACCAGACGCUGAGACGCGACAGCACGGGGAGCGAACGGGAUUAGAAACCCCGGUAGUCCGUGCCGUAAACGAUGUGCACUAGAUGUUCGGUCCUCUACGGGGGAGUGAGCGUCGCAGCCAACGCGGUAAGUGCACCGCCUGGGGAGUACGGUCGCAAGGCUAAAACUCAAAUGAAUUGACGGGG